rnacentral:rRNA from 1 species
GAUGAACGCUGGCGGCGUGCCUAAUACAUGCCAGUCGAGCGAACAGACGAGGAGCUUGCUCCUCUGACGUUAGCGGCGGACGGGUGAGUAACACGUGGAUAACCUACCUAUAAGACUGGGAUAACUUCGGGAAACCGGAGCUAAUACCGGAUAAUAUAUUGAACCGCAUGGUUCAAUAGUGAAAGACGGUUUUGCUGUCACUUAUAGAUGGAUCCGCGCCGCAUUAUCUAGUUGGUAAGGUAACUGCUUACAAAGGCAACGAUGCGUAGCCGACCUGAGAGGGUGAUCGGCCACACUGGAACUGAGACACGGUCCAGACUCCGACGGGAUGCAGCAGUAGGGAAUCUUCCGCAAUGGGCGAAAGCCUGACUGAGCAACGCCGCGUGAGUGAUGAAGGUCUUCGGAUCGUAAAACUCUGUUAUUAGGGAAGAACAAAUGUGUAAGUGACUAUGCACGUCUUGACGGUACCUAAUCAGAAAGCCACGGCUAACUACGUG